rnacentral:rRNA from 1 species
AGUGAACGCUAGCGGUAGGCCUAACACAUGCAAGUCGAACGGCAGCACAGGAGAGCUUGCUCUCUGGGUGGCGAGUGGCGGACGGGUGAGGAAUACAUCGGAAUCUACUCUGUCGUGGGGGAUAACGUAGGGAAACUUACGCUAAUACCGCAUACGACCUACGGGUGAAAGCAGGGGAGCUUCGGUCCUUGCGCGAUUGAAUGAGCCGAUGUCGGAUUAGCUAGUGGGCGGGGUAAAGGCCCACCAAGGCGACGAUCCGUAGCUGGUCUGAGAGGAUGAUCAGCCACACUGGAACUGAGACACGGUCCAGACUCCUACGGGAGGCAGCAGUGGGGAAUAUUGGACAAUGGGCGCAAGCCUGAUCCAGCCAUACCGCGUGGGUGAAGAAGGCCUUCGGGUUGUAAAGCCCUUUUGUUGGGAAAGAAAUCCAGCUGGCUAAUACCCGGUUGGGAUGACGGUACCCAAAAAAUAAGCACCGGCUAACUUCGUGCCAGCCGCCGCAGUAA